rnacentral:tRNA from 1 species
GUGNAGGUGUCCGAGUGGCUGAAGGAGCACGCCUGGAAAGUGUGUAUACGGCAACGUAUCGAGGGUUCGAAUCCCUCCCUCACCGCCA